UACGUAGGGUGCGAGCGUUGUCCGGAAUUAUUGGGCGUAAAGAGCUCGUAGGCGGCUUGUCGCGUCGGAUGUGAAAGCCCGGGGCUUAACUCCGGGUCUGCAUUCGAUACGGGCAGGCUAGAGUUCGGUAGGGGAGAUCGGAAUUCCUGGUGUAGCGGUGAAAUGCGCAGAUAUCAGGAGGAACACCGAUGGCGAAGGCAGGUCUCUGGGCCGAUACUGACGCUGAGGAGCGAAAGCUGGGGAGCGAACAGG
rnacentral:rRNA from 1 species